GACGAACGCUGGCGGCACGCCUAACACAUGCAAGUCGAACGGACUUAAAAGACCUUUCUUUUUUGAGUUAGUGGCGGACGGGUGAGUAACACGUGAGCAACCUGCCUCUGAGAGUGGGAUAGCUUCUGGAAACGGAUGGUAAUACCCCAUAAAAUAUACAUAUCGCAUGAUAGAGAUAUAAAAUAAGUUCGCUCAGAGAUGGGCUCGCGUCUGAUUAGUUAGUUGGUGAGGUAUCGGCUCACCAAGGCGAGGAUCAGUAGCCGGCCUGAGAGGGUGAACGGUCAGAUUGGGACUGCGACACGGACCAGACUCGUACGGGAGGGAGGAGUGGGGAAUAUAGCACAAUGGAGCGAAAUCUGAUGCAGCGAUGCCGCGUGGAGGAAGAAGGUUUUCGGAUUGUAAAUUCCUUUUAUCAGGGACGAUAAUGACGGUACCUGAAGAAAAAGCACCGGCUAACUACGUG
rnacentral:rRNA from 1 species